UCAGAGGGAGAGAAUAGGAAGAUAAAGGUUGAAAAAGGUCGGCGAAUAUCUAGAAAAUUCCUAGAAGGAAAUCCUUUAAUAUUGUAAUUCUCUGAAGAGAAUGACAGGAAAAGGAGAGAAAUUUCAAGAGACUUGGUAGAAAGGGACACACUGAAUCGUUCGAAACCGACAGACAUGAUAUUAGAAACUCGAAGAAAGAGACAAAUUGACAAAAAACUGAUGAAAAUUGACAGACGAAGAUCUAGAAAAUUGUCGAGAAAAGAAUUCUUCUUCGAGAUGACGUCGUGUAAAUUCCAAUAAUUUUAAUUAAUAACGAAAGACUGUAUUUGAACAUCAUCGUCGAAGAUGAGGACGACGGGACGAGAACGAAUCUCAACACAAGCGGAAAGAUCAGACGGUCUUCCCUCUUUCAAGAGUUUUCACCGAAUUAAUCGAUCAAAUUUGCUAGAAUGUGUUAACAGAGAAACGAUUGGACUUUCGAUGGGCCAGCUGGCUUAAAUACCAACGCGAUAAUAAACGACAACUUUCUCGAAGCAGGUUCUCGGUGCAACGAUGACGAACAGAGGAGCCGAUUGUGCGAGAAAAAUUCAGAAAGGCGUCCGGCGCGUCGUGGUGUCAACCGGUGCGUGGCUUGGUUCUUUCGCUGUUUGAGAGGUCCCGGGAACCAUGGGAAAUGGAUCGUCCUGCUGUCCGCAUCGCAAAAAGAUGUCGGAGUUUCCAGUGGAGGGAGCGGAAAACGGUGACAUGCACACGGUCAUGGAGAAUUUCCACAAGAAGAACAACAUGGUGACCGGAAGGAGUCAUGUCACCCAGCAUCCACAGGUCACUUCGUCGUCGCAGAUGCUGACGACGAACCAGAGCCAGAGCAGCAGCAGCAGCUCGAGCAGGGUGGCCAAAUCCUCGCAGAGGAUUCUCACAUCGUCCUCGUCGAGUGAGAUGAAAGCAAGCUCGAUGAAGAGCGAUCUGAGAGAACUACAGCGCGGCAUAUCCGAAAUGAAGAACAAUAUCUCGACGAAUUUUUCGCAACGAUUGCGUAGCAGCAUGGAGAACCUCGUGGACAGGGAUGGAAACGGAACGGAAGAGGGUGACUUGACCGAGCCGUUGGUGACGUUUCCGGAUCCAGAUACACCGCCACCUGCCACCGGAACGGUCACGUUGACUGGUGGAUCACCCUCGCAAUUGAGCUCUCUGAAUUCGUUAAACAAUCUUCACAGCAUGAGCCCGCCGAUCAGCAUGUCGAACAUCUCGAACAUACCGAACCUACCUGCUGGACAGGAAACGAUGAAAUUCGAGCAAAAGAAAAUGACGAGCGCUUCCAAGACCAAGGUUGUCACGGACGGUUUCAGCGCUGAAAAGGCGACGGCGAAUAGCGCCGAGAUGAGAGCUUUGCUAGCUGGCGACGUCUCGUACAAAGAGCAAAGCGCCGCGACGGCGGCCAGGGCGCGUGUCGAACUCGACGGCGUCUCCGCUGAGAAAAGCGUCGCCGCAGCAAGGGAACAAAGAAGUCUGAAAGCUGGCGAUCUGUCGCAUCAGGAAAGCAACAACAUAGCCGCGUCCACGAUGAAGCUCCAGAGCGACUCCUUUAGCUCAGAGAAAAAGGCCAUGGCAGCGCAACAACAACGACAAACAGUUACGUCGACCGGUAUCUUCAACCACGAGAAGCACAUCUCCACAGCUAGUUCACAAUCGAGCAUCACAAUCGCCAAAGGGAUCACUUCGAAAUCUUCAAUGAUCAGCGCUGCGAGUGCUGUGAAUCAACUGAUGAAUGGCAUGAGGCCGGCCGAAGAUGAACUCCUUUCCCUGCCUCUCGACGAUCUGGAUCUUCUGUGCUCGAAAUCGAACCCCCAGGACGUCGACCGUGCCAUCGCCAAAUACUCCAAUUUCCUAGACAGUUUUGUGGAACGUCUGAAAGCGAACGACUACAAAAACGGCAAGGCGCCGCUGUUGUUGAACAGAGUGAACGAAAUAAUCAGAAAAGCAUGGGCAGUGCCGACUCAUGGCCACGAAUUAGGGUACAGUCUGUGUAACACCCUUCGAACAAGAGGCGGUCUUGAUUUAUUAAUGUCCAACUGCGUGGCCAGCGACAAAGAACUGCAGUUUUCCUCGGCCAGAUUGCUGGAACAAUGUUUAACCACGGAGAACAGAGCACACGUGGUGGAACACGGUUUGGAGAAAGUUGUGAACGUUGCCUGUGUAUGCACAAAGAAUGCUAACUCAGUCGACCACUCCAGAGUGGGCACCGGAAUCUUGGAACAUCUGUUCAAGCACAGCGAGGGGACUUGUAGCGAUGUGAUCAGGCUAGGCGGUUUGGACGCUGUCCUAUUUGAAUGCAGAAAGAAUGACGUUGAAACGUUAAGACACUGUGCCGGUGCCUUGGCCAAUCUGUCUCUGUAUGGUGGUGCAGAGAAUCAGGAAGCAAUGAUCAAAAGGAAAGUGCCUAUGUGGCUGUUUCCAUUAGCUUUCCACAAUGACGAUAACAUUAAGUACUACGCCUGUCUGGCGAUCGCUGUAUUAGUAGCCAAUAAGGAAAUAGAAGCAGCAGUGUUGAAGUCUGGUACGCUGGACCUGGUCGAGCCGUUUGUAACCUCACACAAUCCUUAUGAAUUCGCCAAGUCGAAUCUAGCUCAUGCACAUGGUCAGAGUAAAAAUUGGCUCGAGAGGUUGGUGCCAGUAUUAAGUUCAAAGAGAGAGGAAGCCAGGAACUUGGCUGCUUUUCAUUUUUGUAUGGAGGCUGGUAUCAAGAAACAGCAGGGCAACACUGAGAUCUUCCGCGCGAUAGGUGCCAUCGAACCGUUAAAGAAAGUAGCUAGUUGCCCAAACGCGAUAGCAUCUAAAUACGCGGCGCAGGCGUUGCGAUUGAUCGGAGAGGAGAUCCCUCAUAAACUCAGCCAACAGGUGCCACUUUGGUCUACAGAGGAUGUCAGGGAGUGGGUAAAACAAAUUGGAUUCGCGGAAUGCGCGCAGAAUUUCGUGGAAAGUAGGGUAGACGGUGAUCUGUUGUUACAACUGACGGAAGAGAAUCUCAAGGAAGACAUUGGUCUGACAAAUGGUAUCAAACGGCGAAGGUUUACUAGGGAGUUGCAGAAUUUGAAGAAGAUGGCUGACUAUAGUAGUAGAGACACGGGGAACUUGAAUAGCUUUUUGCAAUCUAUCGGCCAGGAGUUCUCAAUCUACACGUACAGUAUGCUCAACGCUGGCGUUGACAAAGACUCUAUCAGGAAUCUCUCUGAGGACCAAUUAUUGACAGAAUGUGGUAUCGCGAAUAGUAUCCAUAGGCUGAGGAUAUUGGACGCUAUUAAGAACAUGCAGCACAAUCAGUUGGGCUCUUCGGAGGAUGAGUCGCCAGACAAAUCUUUGGAUGUAUUUGUUAGUUACAGAAGAUCAAAUGGAUCUCAAUUGGCCAGUCUGUUGAAAGUCCAUUUACAACUAAGAGGUUUUUCUGUCUUCAUUGACGUCGAAAGGUUAGAAGCUGGUAAAUUUGACAAUAAUCUGCUACAAAGCAUCAGACAGGCAAAACACUUCCUCCUUGUGUUAACGCCCAAGGCUUUGGAAAGGUGUAUACAAGACAGUGAAUGCAAAGACUGGGUUCAUAGGGAGAUUGUAGCAGCUCUACAGUCGCAGUGUAAUAUAAUUCCAAUCAUAGACAACUUCCAGUGGCCAGAGCCUGAGGAACUUCCUGAAGACAUGCGAGCAGUUUGCCAUUUCAAUGGUGUACGAUGGAUCCACGAUUACCAAGACGCCUGCGUAGACAAACUAGAAAGGUUUAUGCGAGGUGAAAUACCAGUCAGAUCAGACAUCCCGAGAAGCAUCGCGCCCAAGGACGUGACGCAACCAAACACACCGAGUAAUACGAACAUUCGACAACCACCGAGUUACCAGCGCAUGCACAGCAAUGAAAGUAGAGGCAGUGAUAAAGAUUCGACAGGAGGGCGAGAUUGACUAGAAGGCCCGCCCACAGCCAUACCGAGCAGCCAGGAUUAACAAUUGCGCUAAAGCAAUCAGUCAUGUCUAGGCUUAGAAAAUCGUCAAGUCCGUCCCGUUGGUUAAUGGGUUUACCGCCUACGUCUCCGCGAUUGAAAUUCACCCAUGCACAGUCUGGAGGAAGUCCAAU